GCCAUUCUGUGAUAUGCCUAUUCAUUAUGUGUCCAGAGUACUUAUUGCUAAUCUGUAGUUAGAAAAAUUCAGUUAAUCAAAUCAUACAUCAAGUGGUGGUGUUUUGAAAAUUCUUUGGAAAGAAAAAAAAAAUUCUUUGAAGAAUGUGAGAGUUGUAUCUUGUACCAUGAGGCUUCCAAGGUAAAGAUCCUUUAAAUACCUGUGAUAAAAAUGAGGGGGAAGAAUAAAAGUAUAUUUAACAAAUACAGUAUUAAGAGUAGCGAUUCUAUAAUCUGAUCUCACAGUGGGCUCUUUUGUAAUACUAACUUUUUGUUGGUAGAAACUAGCAGGCAUACUAAUCAUUUUAAUGAGACUCACUGCGUGAAUAAUGAAUAUAAAAAUAAUUCGGUAUGUACUCAGACCUUCACAAAAGUCACAUUUCAGUUGAUUCAUUUCUUGAGAACUUCUUCAGUUUAAUAUUAUGAUUAAGAAAAUAGAUUUUGGGGCACCCGGCUGGCUCAGUCGGUGGAGCAUGCAAGUCUUGAUCUCGGGGUUUUAAAAGUUUGAGCCUCACACUGGGUGUUGAGAUCACUUAAAAAUAAAAUCUUAAGAAAAAAAAUAGAUUUUCUGUAAUAUGAUCACUGGGACAUGGGAAGUCAGGAUCCUGUGGAUUGCCAGCUCUGGUUCACUUAUUCUUGUGCAAUAAAAAUACCCAGGAUUCUGUAUGCAAAAACAAAGAAGUUUUUCUGGCCCAGCUCUUCCAAAUUCCUUCAGCCCCCUCACCCUGACAACACUGUGUAUUCACGUCUCUAAUUCUGGGCAUUAGGACACUUGAAAUGAAUUCCAAGAUCUAGAUCAUCACAGAAAAUUAUGUUUUCCCAAAAUCUUUAGAUUUUGGUGGAAAAUUUAGUUUUAAGAUGUUUAAGAAUGCUGUAAAAUAGUUCCUUUUAAAUGUGUUAUUAUUUAAACUCCACUUUCUCUCUCCUAGGUUAUUUAUUUAAAUUCAGCUGAGUUCCACAUUCCCUGGAUGGCUAAGAACAGACAUUUACCAUAUAAAUCAAAAACUGAUGAAGGCUUUAAGCCUAUAUGUUAAAAGACUGGCAGUGAGAUGUUUUAUGGCCUUAAGUACUACAUAUCCAAUUAAGUUGGUGACAGGCACCCGUUUCUGGUAUGUGUAGUGAUGGUCUCAUUCACUGAUUCAGUAAACAGACUAGAGGAUCAGUAAAGAGAAGAGGUGCCUCCCAUGGCUGGCUUACAUUACUGUCUAGAUUUUUACUUUCAUGUUUCUGAUGAUGCUAAAUUGAACAGAUUGAAAAUUCUGUUAGAAAACCAUGUUUACCCAAUUCCUGUAAGUUCCACAGCUAAAAAAGAAUUUUUGAAAGAUUUUUCUUAAUUUAGAGAGCCAGUGAGUGUGAAGGUAGAAGGGCAGUGAGAGAGAAUCCCAAGCAGACUCUGAUCCCAACACAGUGCAAUCUUAGGACACCGAGAUCAUGACCUGAGCCAAAAUCAAGAGUUGGACGGUCAACUAACAGAACCAUCCAGGCACCGCUGCUUCCUUUUUUUUAAACUGUAUUCCUUGUGGGUCUUGCAUUAGUAUGCAAGGGUCUAUUUAUCCUUCUUUCUCUCCAAAUUAAAUUCUAGUUAGUUAAUAUAUAGUGUAAUAUGUUUCAGGUGUUUACUUUUAUUCAUUUCCAUUUCGUAUUCUCAAAACCGCAAAUUCCAAAAUAUGCACUGUAUUGUCCUAACAGAAGCAUUAGUCCGUGUGUGGUCAAUUCCUUUUAGUGGACAAAGAAGAAAGACCGCUAAAAUGCUACUGCUAGUGAAAUUGAUUUUUUUAAAUAUAAUGAUCUUUGUC